UUUCAGAAGUGAUUACUCUCAUUCCAGGAGCAGAGAAGCACUCGCAUGUGUGUCUACACUGCAAGUGAAGGUGUGAUUGUAGCAAAGGUUGGCGUACCCCUGCUAGCCUGGGUAACAGUAGCAGUGUAGUUGUGGUGGCAUGGGCUCAGCAAGGGCUAACAACCUGAGCAUACCUCUGCUGUGGACCCUGGGUACAUACUUGGACACUAGCUUCUGCUGAAGCCUAUGUCAUCACAUAUACACUACUCUUGUUAUCCACGCUAGCUAGAUUUAAGGUGGCAUGAGUAUGCCUACUCAUGCUACAGUCACACCUUCACUUGUACUAUAGACAUAGACCCAUGCUGUUGUACCUAAGAUAGCAUAGGAAGCAUAUCUUGGCUCAUAGACGGUAUCUGGUCUUAAGCACUGCAGCUUAAUACAUGUAGAAACACAAUAGGUGGGGUUGGGAAUUUUGAAAUUUCUCAAAACGAGUAAUAACAAAAGAGUGACUAUAAAGAUUAGAUUUGUUCAACCGAUCUGCUUCCUGUACGUGUUCAGUCACAGUUGCUUGCUUACUUGGCAAAAAAAUGUUCACCUCCUUUAGUCAGGCAGUUCCAACUUUUCUGUGGGAGCUGGAUUCUGCUCUAGUUUCGUCAUCAGCAGAAUUGUCAACUAAGUUCUAACUGGACAUACUUCUGGUGAGGCCUAAAAAGUCUUUUCAGAUACUAGUUUGAAUUUUCAGUGCUGCCUGUAACCCCUUUCUGCAUAACCUUUAAACUACAUAAAUUUAGUAUAGAAUUAUUGAGUAAGUUAACAUCAAUCCUCACAAUGUCCUUUUUAGAGUAUAACUUUAACUGGUCAAACACUAGUCUAUGUAAUGAGGUUUUUUACUGCUUCUUUUCUCUACUCUUAUGCAGAACCCUCAAGCUGUGCACAUACCUGGCUUGUGUAAAUGCACGUUCUUAUUAUCCUCCUCCCUAUUCCUUCAGAUGUAUAUAUCCAUUUUUUCGUAUUGUCUUAAUUAAAUGGUAAGCUCUCUGAGUGAGGGACUUCCUUUGCUAUUUGUACAGCACUUAGCGUGAUGGGAGCUUGAUUGGACCUCAAGGUGCUAUUGUAACAUAAAUGGUGCUACAAAAUGUCAUGGAAUUGCCAGCAUUAAGGAGGACAGAGCAGUGAUACCAAGUGCCUUACAUUAGAAAUAAGAAGAAAAUAAAAUGUGAGGAAAAAUGUGAGCCACAAAGAUUUGGUAGAAAGAAGAAGUGAGAGAACAGUAAUUUUGAAAGAUAUUUGGGAACUCUAAAGGACGGCAAAUAGACAUGAGGUUGCACUACAUGGUGUCAGUAAAAAGGGCUUUGGGGCACUCUGUUUCGAGGUAUAGCGACAAAGGAACAGAAUACCAUGCUCCCUCAUUAUAGUGCUUCAGUGAGAGUGAAUUAAUGUGCUCACUUCUGGCCUCUUCACUGCCAGAAAGAGUAGAGAAAGUUCAGAAAAGAGGAACAGAAAUGACUGAUGUGGAAAGGUUAGAAGGGGUGUCCACAAGUCUACAAGUAGCUGGAGAAUGUAUAUAACAAGGGGGUAAAAAUUAUUUUGGCUCAUACAAAUCUGGUUAUAAUUAGAAAUGAUGAGAUUAAGGCUAUGUCUACAGUACAAAGUUAAGUCGACUUAAGUUACGUUGACAUCCAACCACCGCUGUAAUUAAACUGCUGUUCCAUGUCCACAUUAUGCUCCUGGUGCUGGCGGAGCGCAUCCACAGUAGCUGCUCUUGCAUCGACACAGAGAGUGGUGCACUGUGGGUAGCUAUCCCACUGUGCAACUGGCCGCAGGGUGAUUUGGGAAGGAUUUGCAGUACCACAUGGGGCAGGCACAGCAUCUCAUGAUGCAGGUUUCUCAAUCUCAGCAUUCCAUGGGUAUCCUACUAGGUUUCCGGCUGCUUUUCAACUGCCCUGGUAACCUGCGAGCCAGCCAUUGUGUCAGAGAGCAUAGAGCCUGCACUGCUCUUUAGUAUUGAGCUGUGCAUUAUGAACACAAGGCUAUAAAAGGAGCUCAAGGGGGGGAGGAGAGGGCUAUUCACCGCCACCCUGACCUUUGCCGCCUCCUUGUAGAGUGGCAGGUCUGUAGCUCUGCACCAGAGGCUAAUAUUUGCCUCCCUUGCCUCCUGCCAUGCUGUAGCUCUUUAAUUUUUACAUGGCACUGCUGUGUGUGUCUAUCACAGCCCUUCACCUCCCUGCCCUGAGCAAGUUCCUGCUGCUGGAGUGGAGCUGUGACUGCAAAGCCUCCUCUCCCCACAGAGCCAGGAGAUCCAACAACUCUGGUGUACUCCAGGCAGGAGUGAGUUUGCUGCAUGGAGCCAGCAUGUUCAACUAGACAGUUGCUAUGUGAGCUCUCUGGAAGAGACUGUGUACCUGGCUGCUGGACAGUGGAAUUCAAAAGAGUGGCUAGGGUGUAGGCAUUGUGGGACACCUCUUGGAGGCCACUUAGGGCAACAUAAGCAAUGCAGUGUCACUGCUUCACUCUAACUAUGUUGCCCUAAGCUCUACACCUCUUAUUGAAGUGUUUUUAUUAUGUCAAAGUAGCAGGCGAGUUAAACUGGUGGGAGGAGCAUUGCAGUGUGUACAACUUCAUAAUUAGGUCGACAUAAGCUGCGUGGGGUCGACAAAACUGUGUAGUGUAGACACGGCCUAAGAUCACAGAGAAAACUUAAGUUUGGCAUCAGGAAAAGCUGCUUAUCAGUGAGAACUAUUAAUACUUUGUAUUCUUAGUGCCUUCUAAUUAAAAUACCAUACUGGCUUAAUAAAUUAAGUAAUUCUCACUACAGCCCUGUGAAAUAGGUGAGAAGUGUUAUCCUUAUUUUUCAGAGGAAAGCUGAGGCUGAGAAGUUAGGCAUCUCUGGUUUCGCCCACAGUCUUUGGCAGGAGCCAGAAAUUGGGUAGAGAGAUCCUAUGCUUGUGCUUUAAAAACAUCCCUGUCCUUCCUGUUUCUCUGUUAGACUGUGAAGCUGACUCUAACUGAAGUGGUAGAAGCCUCAUUAUUUAAGGCACUUCAAAAUUAGAACUGGCAAAACUCUAGUCAGUAUACCAUAGCAAAUAAUGCCACCUUGGCCAGGAACUGAACUAGAUCAUUCAGUAAGCUACCUUGUG